UGCAAGUCGAGGGGCAGCAUUUUAGUUUGCUUGCAAACUAAAGAUGGCGACCGGCGCACGGGUGAGUAACACGUAUCCAACCUGCCGAUAACUCGGGGAUAGCCUUUCGAAAGAAAGAUUAAUAUCCGAUAGUAUAUUAAAACCGCAUGGUUUUACUAUUAAAGAAUUUCGGUUAUCGAUGGGGAUGCGUUCCAUUAGUUUGUUGGCGGGGUAACGGCCCACCAAGGCGACGAUGGAUAGGGGUUCUGAGAGGAUGAACGGCCACACUGGAACUGAGACACGGUCCAGACUCC
rnacentral:rRNA from 1 species